CCUACGGGAGGCAGCAGUGAGGAAUAUUGGUCAAUGGGCGCGAGCCUGAACCAGCCAAGUCGCGUGAGGGAGGACGGCCCUACGGGUUGUAAACCUCUUUUGCAGGGGAGCAACGGGCGUCACGUGUGGCGCCACUGCGAGUACCCGGAGAAAAAGCAUCGGCUAAAUCCGUGCCCGCAGCGGCGGUAAUAAGGAGGAUGGGAGCGUUAUCCGGAUUUAUUGGGUUUAAAGGGUGCGUAGGCUGUGAGGUAAGUCAGCGGGGGAAUGCCCCCGCUCAACGGGGUGAAGUGCCAUUGAUACUGGCUGGCUGGAAUGCGGAUGCGGUGGGAGGAAUGUGUGGUGUAGCGGUGAAAUGCAUAGAUAUCACACAGAACACCGAUUGCGAAGGCAUCUCACGAAUCCGCGAUUGACGCUGAUGCACGAAAGCGUGGGUAUCAAACAGGAUUAGAUACCCUAGUAGUC
rnacentral:rRNA from 1 species